AGUCAUGUUGUUUAAAGGAGUUUGCUGUAGCAGGCUGACACAGACAGUUAUGCUGAAAAUAUUUUUUCUAAUUUAAAGACAGUUUGUACUUAAAAGUUUCUGAACUGGAAAGAAAAUGCUGGAAGACACAUCAGAAAGAGGAAUUUCAUCUUGUAUUGUGCAAGUGAAUAAAGUUGUGUGUCUUUUUGCCUAGAAAAGGACGGGAAAGUCCAGCUGACAGAAAGCAGGCCUGUGGGAGCCCAGAACCCAGGGGAAGUGCAGGUAACAGCAUGCUGUCCUAGCAGCUGUUUCAGCGUCUAUUACACUGUCAGUUUGUUGCCAUGUAGCAGGUGCUCGAUCUCACAUUUAAUCUUUAAUGUUCUGCAAAGGCAAAGACCAGGCAGGACACCAGCCGGUUCAGAACAUUGCAUCGGCAGGUGUGAAAUUGUGCAAGCUAAAGAGCAGAAACUACAGUCAGACCUUUAGUUCCAUUGACCAUAUGAUUACCACAAGGAGGCUACCUUCGGAUAAACCUGUCCACAUUUCCUUGAGCCUAGAUGACCUUACAGAGCUGAAUAUUCCUGAUGAUUUUAUUCCAAACGUUUACCUCCAACUUGAUCAGCAUCUACAGCCUCUGCAGCCAUGCCUCAACUCCAAGGAGUCAAUAUUGGUGUUUCAGCAGCACUGCAGGAUAGCUGAGGAGUAUCACAAAGUGCAAAAAGAAAUCGCAUUGCUACAAGAGCGAAAAAAACAGCUGAUUGCAGAACUUGAUCAAGAUGAAAAGGAUCAACUGAAUGCUACACACCUAACACAGGAAUACCAGCAGCUUGCUGAAGAAAAUCACUCUCUGACUACCUACCAUUUACAGUGUAGAGAACAUCUAGAGAAACUUCAGGUGCUACUGCAGCAGCAACAGGGAUCGUCCUGACUCCACACAGGCAGUCCUUCAUUUAUGACAUACGGAAUGCUGGAAUAGCUAUGGAAUCUUCUUAGAGAUUCACAGAAUCAAAUGGAAGAGUUUGCUGUAUGGAGAGCAGAAACCAUCUUGCUAGUUUACUGAUUUACUGGAAGCUGACUUGCAGCAUUGCUGUAGUUGUUUUUCCGGAUGAGGUUUUCUUUCUAUAUGUAUAAGAUGCUGCCAGACCUGAAACGUUUCUUCAGAAAUGUCUGAUUUUGUGUCAGAAUUUGUUACCUGGUCUCAAGUAAAUGAAUGUUCUGGGAUGGUCAACUCCUUCAGAAGAAGGGAAAAGUCCAAACAUGCAGGGAAGGAGCAUAUACAUAAUUUGUGCAGUGGAGACAAAGUAACUAAAUUUACGGGGAUAAAUUGAUUCUCCACUCCCUGGUUUCGGCCCAUCAGCAAAUUCAUAGAUUUACACUUACACCAGUGGAUAUACGACAAUCAAAUACUCAAUUUCAUCUUGUUCCAAAUAUGUAUUUUGGUGUUGUUCUUGGUGCCUCCAAUUGAAAUUGCAGGCAGAAGGUAAGGGUUCUGCUCCCUUUUAACUUUCUCCCCAUAUUGUGCUCUUCCUGACCAGGUGUAUGAAGUCCCUUUCCUUCUUUCUCUGAAGUACUUGGCCAAUAUCCAAACCAUGUCUGCUAUUUAAGCCUUUAAAUCUUGACUUCUGACUUCAGACUCAGUGAGGAAGUUCAUUCAUAUCAUAAAAAAUGACUAAUACCAGAAAUAUUUGCACAGUCAGCGAACCAAAGGCAUGGCUGCAAUCUUCUGACUAAACUUUAAGCUGAUUACAAAAUUUAGGAGGAAAUAUCAGAAUCUUUUUUAAGGGGAAUUGUCAAUGAAGGCAUUUUUGAUGCUUUCUUACUGUUUGAGAGCUAGUGAAAACAGUUGCCACUCAUGUAUACAUUUAUCUUUUUUAACCAGGUAAGAAAUUUAAAUCUGCAAGUUUUUUUUACUGUGACUGCUGUUAAAAGGGUACUGUGAUGAAGACAUUUUGAAUUGUAAUUUGAGCUAGCAAGCAUACAGAUUUGCUAUGAUUCACACAAUAGGCAAAGGCAGUAUUUUCAUGAAAAAUAUCCUGUCACUGGCCCAAUGAAAGCUCAACAGCCUGGCUUUGAUCCAGAAAGUUCAGCUGUUUGCUCUGGUGCUAGAACAGGUGGGAACCUUUCCAACUAGAUGGUGGAAAUGACCAGUUAUCAAUUUGUAAAAUUGGGAACUGGUGUAACCUGCUAAUUAAAUGGGAAGGUAGGAACUCAGUUUAAUUUCUUGACCUUCAGAUGAAGCGUGGAACCAAAGUUUUGUCUGCCUAUCCAGGUAGGCAAUCAUGAUAUUAUGGCAGUAUUCAAAGGGUGGACCAAUUUACUUCCCUCAAAACAGAAUGUGAGAAACAAAUUAAAAAGCCAUUUAGUUCAUUGCUGUUUAUGGGAUCUUUCUGCAUGCAACUUGUUUGCUAUGUCUGCCGAUCAAACAAAAUUAUAUUUUUAAAGUAAUUAAUGGAAAAUGUUUUGAUACUUCUGAGGCCUAAUAAGCUACUAGAUUCUUUACUAGGAAACUAAUCAACAUGAGAAGAAAUACUCAAUGGUAGAAAAAGAAACCCUAGAAUUAAUAUUGGCUGUCAAACAUUUUGAAGUAUAUAUCUAUUGUGGCCACAGACAGAUGAUGGCAAAUGCUAAUCACAAGCCCUAGCAUUUGUGGAAAACUCCCAAGAACUAAAAUGUCAGACUA